GUUCUGCACAAUGUGCGGAACCGGCGCCUGACGCGAUGCCAGACUGUCCGAGCGUGGGCGAGCUCGUGAGUCGAGGGGCUUUUGGGCAAAGCUGCUCUUUCCCUCACAGUGUUUGGUCAGCGUCAGUGCCUGCAGGACACACUCCUUGUGUUUGGAUUGGUGGAUUAACUUUGUGUAUCUCCUCUCUCACGGUGUGUGCACACGAGGGUGAAUGACAGCUGAUAAGCAAGGGUGCACAGCAGCAAAUGUCAAUGAAAAGAGAGAGAGAGGAGAGGGGGUUGUUCAAAGAGGGCCCUUUGCCCAUAUCGCGAUGGGACAAUGAAUCUCAGAAUUUGAGAUGGAAUUCCACAGCAGAUCCACCCGAUACCCCAAUGAUCACCCACGUGGUUAACGUCUGACACAGAGAUUGCAGCGUUUUCCCCCUCCUCUUGUUCAAGCAGAUAAUUCCACCCGUGACCUCUUUGCUACCCGGCUCUAGGGCUGAUAUUGUGAAAGCUCAUCAAGCAUACCUCCAGCCUGGACGGGCUAUUUGUAAAAGCUACCAUGGAGCAUGUGCAACUCGGUCAGUUCGGACACGCAAGAAGGAAAGCCCUUCAACGCUGCCAAAAGGAGUAUUUAAAAAAAAAAAAGUCUCCUUUGCAGGACCGCGCAGGUGUAAGUUUUGGGAAAAGGAUAAAAAAAAGAAAAAGGCCGUAUUGACUUGUAGAAGGACAUCAUUAAAUACAUUGGAAUUUUACAAAACUGUCUCAUAAUUACUGUAGGAAACGUAAUUACUUCAUGUUCAACAACCACGCUGUAUCUGGCCUUGUUUGUGUUUAUUUCCCUUCUGUAAAUAGGCUGUUUGCUGUCUUUGUCUACACACUGAA